rnacentral:lncRNA from 1 species
UUUGUAUAAACCCUAGGGAAAAAAAAAAACCCUAGAAAGCAGGUACUAGUAUUUUUUCCACUUUACAUAGGAGGAAGCUGUUUGCCUCAGAUUUGGUACAUGCUAAGUGUAUUCUAUGACUAGGAAACACUCCCAUAUUGUAGGCUUAUGUAGGUUAAGUAUUUUGCCCAAACAUACACACCUAGUUAUGGUAAGAGCAAAAUUCAGCCCUGUGUCUGUCUCAAGACUCAUGAUUGGUAAUUAGCCUUAUAGCCAAUCCAUGCUGGGACUUCUUUCACACUGUCUCCCAAUCCUCUCUAGAGUGUUACAUAAGAACUAAUUCUUAAUAGCCAUAUGAAGAACAUGAUAAUAUUUUCAUUUAAUCAAUAAGGAACCAGAGGCUCAGAGAAGUUAGGCCACUUUCCUAGGUUUACACAGUCUAGGUAGCACAGUGGGAUUUGAACUCAGUCCAACUAAGGUGAAAGCCCAGAAGCUACUUGGGUGAAACCAGAUAGAUUGCUUCAUCCAGGUGUGAAGCCCUGGCUAAGCUCUAAGCUCCAGUCCCCUCUGGCGGCAAGCUACAAUCUUCCACCUCUCUCCUUCCCAUCGGGGUGAGUAAUAGUUGCUGGAUGCUUAAAACUGAUACCCUCUCAGGACGCCUGGGGGGCUCAGUGCUUUAGCGCCUGCCUUCAGCCCAGGGCGUGAUCCUGGAGUCCCAGGAUCGAGUCCUGCAUCAGGCUCCCUGCAUGGAGCCUGCUUCUCCCUCUGCCUAUGUCUCUGUCUGUGUGUGUGUGUGUGUGUCUCAUGAAUAAAUAAAUAAAUCUUUAGAAAAGAAUAAAUAAAUAAAAUCUUAAAAAAAAAAAACAAAAAACCUGAUACUCUAUCCUAACUGCUGGGCUUCCAGGCCAUCAUACAUUCCUUCCUUUUCACUUGAUUCAAGCUGCAUCACUAGCAACUCCCACAGGUUCUCCUUUCAGCAUCCCUCAAAGUCCGGCUACCCUCUGGGAAGUUCCACACUCACCUUCAUGAUGUCACACUUUUAUAUUCCUGACUGAGCUCCUCUCCAAGUCUUAACCUGAGUCAUUGGCCUGGUGGAGAUGGCUACUGGAACUGGUCUAGGGUAUAUACUUAACACUCCACUCCCUGGGAUCCCUGGGUGGCGCAGCGGUUUGGCACCUGCCUUUGGCCCAGGGUGCGAUCCUGGAGACCCGGGAUCGAAUCCCACGUCGGGCUCCUGGUGCAUGGAGCCUGCUUCUCCCUCUGCCUGUGUCUCUGUCUCUCUCUCUCUCUCUGUGUGACUAUCAUAAAUAAAUAAAAAUUAAAAAAAAAAAAAAACACUCCCCUCCCUGCGCCAGAGCUCCAAGAAGGAAGCCUCAUCCUCUGUGCACUUUAGAAAUUUGGGACGCCGGGGUGGCUCAGGGGUUGAACAUCUGCCUUCGGCCCAGGGCGUGAUCCUGGAGUCCCCGGAUCGAAUCCCACAUCAGGCUCCCUGCGUGGAGCCUGCUAUUCUCUCUGCUUGUGUAUCUCCCUCUCUCUCUCUGUCUCUCAUGAAUAAAUAAAGAAAUAAUUAAAAAAAAAAAAAAAAAAACUGGUCCCAGGACACAGUGGCCUUUGUUGGGACAGGCCUCCACCACUAAGAUGUCUACAACCUAAUCCCUGCAAACCUAUGAAUACCUUAUGUUACUUGGCAAGGGGGAAUUAAGGUUGUGAAUUAGCUAUCCUUAAAAUGAACUUAUCAAAAAAAAAAAAAAA